rnacentral:rRNA from 1 species
CCUACGGGAGGCAGCAGUGAGGAAUAUUGGUCAAUGGGCGGGAGCCUGAACCAGCCAAGUAGCGUGAAGGAUGACUGCCCUACGGGUUGUAAACCUCUUUUAUAAAGGAAUAAAGUGAGGCACGGGUGCCGUUCUGUGUGUACUUGGUGAAUAAGGAUCGGCUAACUCCGUGCCAGCAGCCGCGGUAAUACGGAGGAUCCGAGCGUUAUCCGGAUUUAUUGGGUUUAAAGGGAGCGUAGAUGGGUUGUUAAGUCAGUGGUGAAAGUGUGCGGCUCAACCGUAAAAUUGCAAUUGAUACUGGCAGCCUUGAGUACAGUGGAGGCAGGCGGAAUUCGUGGUGUAGCGGUGAAAUGCUUAGAUAUCACGAAGAACUCCGAUUGCGAAGGCAGCCUACUAAACUGCCACUGACAUUGAGGCUCGAAAGUGUGGGGAUCAAACAGGAUUAGAUACCCGUGUAGUC